CCUACGGGUGGCAGCAGUGAGGAAUAUUGGUCAAUGGGCGCGAGCCUGAACCAGCCAAGUAGCGUGAAGGAUGACUGCCCUACGGGUUGUAAACUUCUUUUAUAAAGGAAUAAAGUGAGGCACGUGUGCCUUUUUGUAUGUACUUUAUGAAUAAGGAUCGGCUAACCCCGUGCCAGCAGCCGCGGUAAUACGGAGGAUCCGAGCGUUAUCCGGAUUUAUUGGGUUUAAAGGGAGCGUAGAUGGGUUGUUAAGUCAGUUGUGAAAGUUUGCGGCUCAACCGUAAAAUUGCAAUUGAUACUGGCAGUCGUGAGUACAGUUGAGGUAGGCAGAAUUCGUGGUGUAGCGGUGAAAUGCUUAGAGAUCACGAAGAACUCCGAUUGCGAAGGCAGCUUACUAAACUGCCACUGACAUUGAUGCUCGAAAGUGUGGGUAGCAAACAGGAUUAGAUACCCGUGUAGUC
rnacentral:rRNA from 1 species